AAAGCUACUUAUCCCGGGAAAGCUCGCGCGGGGCCCGGGAGCGAACCCACAGACAAAAAGUGAAACUUCGGCAGGGCUGGAGCGACUGCUGGACUCCUAACGUACAGGAGGUCGGAGCUGGCUAAGACCAACUUCCAAUCCGUCCACUUCCCACGUGAGAAAACUGACGCUCUCCGAAGAGAAAUGACUUGUACAGAGUCGCACACGCCACCGACCCAGGAGCGGGACCUGGGUGUUCAAAACUCACAAUCCCAGUUCCCUCCUCCAGUCAGAGCCCUGACUCCCUCCUUCCCACAGAGAGAGAACCAGGUUAGAUGUCAGCGGGCCACGCAGACCACCCAGUGAAGAGAAUUCCAACUCCCCUUGGCCCGGAAUCAGUUCCUGGAAGGUCUGAUUGACAACCCUGAAGGACAAUGACGUUGCUUCCAGGCCACUUCCUCUGUCCUAGACUCAAAUAAACGAACCCCUGGAGUUUAGCGUUUAUUUUACAGCCUGGUCCUGAAGCCCAGAAACUUUUUUCUGUGCUUAUAUCUCCAAAAAGAAAUCAGCGAAUUGGGUGAACUGAUUUGAAUAAAAGCAAGCUUGUUCUUGGAAAGUUAGAGUUGAAUUUUCCCCUCUGACAUUUGUAAAUGUGCGCAAUCAUGGAAACCAUGCCAAGGAGUUAUAAUGUGCAGCAGCCAUUGCCUGGGAGGUGGUCCAAGGCUGGGGACUUUGUUUCCUUGUAUUUCUAUCCUAUUGAUAUCUACAAUAAUAAUCCCUCACUUUGGCACAUCAUUAAAGCAGUUUAUCAAAGCUUCAUGUUAGCUAGGACAAAGCAUAGUCCCCCUUUUACAUUUGAGUGAAAAGGUAAAGUGACUUGCCCAACACAAGCGCCUAAACUCACCUCCACCCAUCCAAGUCACCUGACUAAUCCCAGGAUGUUUCCACCAAACAGGAGACCCUGACCUCCAGCAGGACUUAAUUCCUAUUCAUGAAUGUUGAGAGUACACUGAGUUGCCUACACAUGAAACUUCCAAAACUUGGUUCUAAUGGGAUUUGGUGGAAUUUUUUGACCAAGAAUUAAAGAAAUAAAUGUAGAAACUUA